AGAAAGCGCAAAUGCGGCGCUGAAAAGUCCAGAAUAAAUAAGAAGAAAGCUUUGGAAACUGACGCAGCUAAAUGUUCUAAGCUGAGCACAUUCUUCCUAAAAAAAAAAAACCAAACAAACGGAGACGAGGAGGCCGCUGUUCAACAGUGAAGAGCAAGGCCCGGUAAAGUUACCAAGCCCCAGUCAUGAGCCCAACACAUCAGAAUGGACAGCUCACCUUGGCUGUGGGAACAUCACCUGUGAGCUGAAAUAUCACCGUCCCGAUCGAUGCAGCUGACGGAUGAGGACAGGCGCUGGAGAAUAAACUACAGAGGGAUUCGAGCGGAGAGAUGAGAUUCACACGGCCUUCUGUCUCUGGAGAUCUCUGUCAUCUGAAGCAUCAUCUGCCCUCAGCCGGACGUCUGGACCCUGUUACUGACCCUCAUCAUUAAUGCUGACGUGUGGAGGACACGCUGACCUUCAGCUAUUUUCCAUCUCACAGGAGCAUACCAGCGGUCAGGAGGAAGUGCAAUCACAGGCUCUGCUUUAAAAGCUUUACAAGACAGAUGUUUACACAUGCAUUGGGACAAAACCAGGAGAUGCACACAGCUGCAUGCACACGCUCCUGAGGACGAUAAGUGGGGCUGGCAGGCCUGGUCAACACCAGAGGGCUUGAGUUGACUCUUGACUCGUGAAUCGUGAGUAGUUGAAGCGUUGCUGCGUUAAUCAUUUUUUGCAUGAAGUGAUAAUGAAUCUAUAGCUUACGGGAAGAUGCUUUUAAACGCAGAGGGCUGCCAUGAAUGAAACACGUAAUCCACACAAUCAAGAGCAACAUUUAGGUUGUAGGCCUACUACUGUCCACAAAAUUACACUUUUAAAUGAUCACUUUUAUCAUAUUUAUAGAAUGAAUAAAUAAACAUUUGCUCCAGUCUGAUAUGUAACUUCCUGAUGGUUUCUAGAUGAAACUCACAAAAACAUGCCAUACAUAAUGAAUUUACUUGAUAAGAUAUAAACAAACCAGUCUGAUUUUUGACCGUUUAAAAUAUUCAAUUUAUCAGAUAAAUAAAACCAGCCUUUUGCACUAGUCUGAUUUCUAGGUGAAUUUCACCCAAUAAAUCAAAAGACAAAAAGACGUUAUAUUUUGCAUAAACCAAUUUUAUUUUAGUUUUCAUUUUUGCAUAUUUACUCUUCAAAAUGAUCAUAUAUAUGAUGCUGCUCGAUGUUUUAUUUGUUCAUGUUUGUCGUCAUCUAGCUUUUGAGCGGGAGUAGCUAUCUGUUUGGCCGACCAAUGGCAGUCAGGGGGCAUGUUUAUUAUUCUUGCUAAUUAAUCAUUAAAUGUGUAAUCGGUUUGUUUACAUUACAGUAAUGAGAAUAAAUUGUGUUUUGUUUUAACUUAAAAAAAAGUAAUAAUGGUAUUUCAUGAGUAAAUUGUGUUUAAAACUAAACUGCAACUUUUGGCCCUCUAGUGGUUAAUGCAAAAAAAAAAAAUACAAGUUACUUGCGGAGGAAUAUUGUUUUGGUGAGGUAAAGGCAAACAGACCGAAGUAGUAACUGUUUUAAAUACCAAUAUUAUAAACAUGUCAAUGCACAGUAAAUGUGAUGCUAAAAAACUAUGUUGAUUCGUGUUUUAUGACGUAAUGACAAAGUUACACUAUAUAACUUGUAUGUAAAUUAGCAAUUUAAAUAUGCAAGUACAUCAAGAAACCAUCUUC